UGGGGAAUUUUGGACAAUGGGCGAAAGCCUGAUCCAGCAAUGCCGCGUGUGUGAAGAAGGCCUUCGGGUUGUAAAGCACUUUUGUCCGGAAAGAAAUCCUUGGCUCUAAUACAGUCGGGGGAUGACGGUACCGGAAGAAUAAGCACCGGCUAACUACGUGCCAGCAGCCGCGGUAAUACGUAGGGUGCAAGCGUUAAUCGGAAUUACUGGGCGUAAAGCGUGCGCAGGCGGUUUGCUAAGACCGAUGUGAAAUCCCCGGGCUCAACCUGGGAACUGCAUUGGUGACUGGCAGGCUAGAGUAUGGCAGAGGGGGGUAGAAUUCCACGUGUAGCAGUGAAAUGCGUAGAGAUGUGGAGGAAUACCGAUGGCGAAGGCAGCCCCCUGGGCCAAUACUGACGCUCAUGCACGAAAGCGUGGGGAGCAAACAGGAUUAGAUACCCUGAUAGUCCACGCCCUAAACGAUGUCAACUAGUUGUUGGGGAUUCAUUUCCUUAGUAACGUAGCUAACGCGUGAAGUUGACCGCCUGGGGAGUACGGUCGCAAGAUUAAAACUCAAAUGAAUUGACGGGGUCAUAGCUGUUUCCU
rnacentral:rRNA from 1 species